rnacentral:lncRNA from 1 species
AACGGAGGAGGACCGAACCUGGGGCCGGGGGAAUAUCCACCUCCAUUUCGGGUCUCAGGAAGGGCAAGCCAGAGUCCUUUCUUGGAGGAGUGGUAGGUUGCAGCAACUCAGGCCUAAUCCUGCUUUGUACCUAGAAUAACAGAAGAUCUUCUUCAGAAACCUCAAGCUCCGAUGAUGCCUUCAGACCCAUGAAGAUGGAGUGUGAAAUUCCAUGAAUAUCGAGUCUAUUUUCUGGACCCCAGAGGCUUCAAUGGAAAAUUGAAGAAUAUGAAUGAAUAUAGCAAAUUUCAGCAGAGAGAUCGAAAGGACCACAGAGGAUGAAAUGAUGAAAUGCUCAUGCAAGAGAAAAAUCUCAACAAAGGAGCUACAGAAUGCUUUCCCCAGACUGUCUGUCUGACACCAGAUUUGACAACACUUUGUAAAUAACCAGGAGCCACAGUAGAAAUAUUCUAGGGAAUGGGAAUCACUGUCUCCUGAGGUAACAAAGAAAUAUAGAAAGCCAACAAAAUGUUUAGAAUUAUAAUCAUGAUAAUAAUGAUAGCUAGCAUUUAUUGAGUACUUGCUGUGUUCCAGCCAGGCUUGGUACUAACCUCUGUAUAUUUAGUAACUCAUCCAUUGGCUCUAUGUGACAUGUCCUACAAUCAGUCCAAGAGUAGGAAACUGACGGUGACAGAGAUGAAAAGACUUUUUUUUUU